GACUACAAUGUGGUUUUAGAGGGUGAGGUUUGAUGUGAUUGGUAAUUACAGCUGGAAUGAUUUGCUGAUUCAGCAAUACCUUUGCUUAUUAUUGGAAUGUGAAAUAUAAUGAAAGGCAAUUCUGUUUUUAGAUUGUUGUAACUAAAUUAAUUUAUUUAUUAAACGUAACUUAAUGUUUUGUUGCAGCUCCUUGAUUAGUAGUUGUAUCACGUGGUAGGAGGUGCCAGUUUACAUAUGUAUAGGUUUUAUAUUACUGUAUAUAGUCUUAGCAAUGGAAUAUGUAGUUACAUACUUUAUAUUCAUUUGAUGAUUAUAUCAUUAAU